rnacentral:rRNA from 1 species
UACGUAGGGUGCGAGCGUUAAUCGGAAUUACUGGGCGUAAAGCGUGCGCAGGCGGUUCGUUAAGUCAGAUGUGAAUGCCCCGGGCUCAACCUGGGAACUGCAUUUGAAACUGGCGGGCUUGAGUGUGGCAGAGGGGGGUGGAAUUCCGCGUGUAGCAGUGAAAUGCGUAGAGAUGCGGAGGAACACCGAUGGCGAAGGCAGGUCUCUGGGCCACUACUGACGCUGAGAAGCGAAAGCAUGGGGAGCGAACAGG